UGAGCAAUCUGCCCUUCACUUCGGGAUAACUCCGGGAAACCGGUGCUAAUACCGAAUACGACCACCGAUGGCAUCGUCUGGUGGUGGAAAGUUCCGGCGGUGAAGGAUGAGCUCGCGGCCUAUCAGCUUGUUGGUGAGGUAAUAGCUCACUAAGGCGAUGACGGGUAGCCGGCCUGAGAGGGUGACCCGGCCACACUGGGACUGAGACACGGCCCAGACCUCCGUACGGGGA
rnacentral:rRNA from 1 species